rnacentral:rRNA from 1 species
UACGCCCUAAGGGGGAAAGCGGGGGAUCUUCGGACCUCGUGCUAUUGGAUGAGCCUGCGUAAGAUUAGCUUGUUGGUGAGGUAAUGGCUCACCAAGGCUACGAUCUUUAGCUGGUCUGAGAGGAUGAUCAGCCACACCGGGACUGAGACACGGCCCGGACUCCUACGGGAGGCAGCAGUCGGGAAUAUUGCGCAAUGGGGGAAACCCUGACGCAGCCAUGCCGCGUGUGUGAAGAAGGCCCUAGGGUUGUAAAGCACUUUCAAUUGGGAGGAAAAGCUAAUGGUUAAUAACCAUUAGCCCUGACGUUACCUUUAGAAGAAGCACCGGCUAACUCCGUGCCAGCAGCCGCGGUAAUACGGAGGGUGCAAGCGUUAAUCGGAAUUACUGGGCGUAAAGCGCGCGUAGGCGGUUUUUUAAGUCGGAUGUGAAAGCCCCGGGCUCAACCUGGGAACUGCAUCCGAUACUGGAUGACUAGAAUGCGGGAGAGGGAGGUAGAAUUCCAUGUGUAGCAGUGAAAUGCGUAGAUAUAUGGAGGAAUACCAGUGGCGAAGGCGGCCUCCUGGCUCGACAUUGACGCUGAGGUGCGAAAGCGUGGGGAGCAAACGGGAUUAGAUACCCCGGUAGUCCACGCCGUAAACGAUGUCUACUAGCUGUAGGGGUACUUGAGACCUUUGUAGCGCAGCUAACGCAAUAAGUAGACCGCCUGGGGAGUACGGCCGCAAGGUUAAAACUCAAAUGAAUUGACGGGGGCCCGCACAAGCAGUGGAGCAUGUGGUUUAAUUCGAU